GCCCUAUAAUUCAUUUAAGGUGGGAUCUGCCCGGUGACUAAAAUUUUGGAUCAAAACCCAGUAACUAGUUUAACGGCCGCUGUAUCUUGACGGUGAUAAUGUAGGAAAAUAAAUAGUUGUUUAAUUGACGAACGUAGGUGAAUGAUUUUAUGAGGUUUCCACUGUCUUAAAUUUAAAAAAAUGAAAUUUGAAUAAUAGUGAAGAUACUAUUUGAAACUGUAAGACGAAAAGUCCCUAUAAAGCUUAACUAUAGAUUGAUUAUAAGAUGACAUUCAAGUGUCGUUUUAUAAUAAUCAAUCGGGUAGUUUUGUUGGGGCAACAACAUUCUAAAAAGAAAGAAUAGUAACCAUAUAUAAACCAAUUUACUAUAAUAUUUAUUGUUUAAUAUAUGUAUUUAACAAUCACAAAGUGGGGUAAGUGACCUGUCAUUUUGAAAAAAAACUAAAUGACAACAAAGAGAUAAAAGCUACUUUAGGGUUAACAGGUUAAUUUUAUCCUAGAGAAAGAAAUCAAAGAUAAAGUUUGACACCUCGAUGUUGAAUUAAGAUACCCCGGUUAAUGCAGCAGUUACCAAAGGUUGGUCUGUUCGACCAUUAAAAUCUU
rnacentral:rRNA from 1 species